CGCCAGGCUAAUUUUUCGAAUUUUUAGUAGAGACGGGGUUUUGUCAUGUUGGCCAGGCUGUUCUUGAACUCCUGAUCUCAAGUGAUCCACCUGCGUCGGCCUCCCAAAGUACUGGGAUUACAGGUGUGAGGCACUGUGCCCGGCCAAACUUUUCUUCUCUAAUAUUAGCAUUUGAUGCUAUACAUUUUGCUCUAAGCAAUACCUUAGGCGCAUUCCACAAAUUUACAAAGUUAUAUUCUCAUUAUCACUCAAUGAAGCAUAUUUUCUAAAUUUCUUCGUAAGCAAUUCUUUGAACUAUGGGUUAUUCCAAAGUAUGUUAUUUAAUUUUCUAAUCUUCCAGGUAUCUGUUAUUAAUUUCUACUUUAAUUUUGUUGAGGUCACAGAACAUACCCAAUAUGAUUUUAAUCCUUCCAAAUGUAUUAAAAUUUGUUUUAUGGCUCAUUAUUUGGUUUGUCCUAUUGAAUAUUCCAAAUGUACUUGAAGAGAAUGUUUAUUCUGAUGCUUUUUGGUGUAGCAAUCUAUAAAUGUCAAUUAUAUCAAGUUCAUUGAUAGUGUUGCUGAAGUCCUUAAUAGCUUUACUGCUUUUUGGCAUACUUGUUUUAUAAGCCAGGGGUACUAUUUAAUACCUUUUUUUCAUCUAAUUUUUUUCCUUAAAUUUACGCCAUCUGAUAUUACUGUCCACUCCAACUUUCCCAACUAGUAUUUAUAAUAGUAUGUAUUUUCCCAUUCUUUUAGUUUCAUUUUUUUAAAUUUUUGCACAUAUUUGUAAUUGUUAUUUAAAAUUUCUUAUGUACUUAUUUACUUACUUUUUGAAAUGUGGUCUUGAUAGGUUGCCCAGGCUUGAGUGCAGUGGCUAUUAACAGGCAUGAUCACAGUGCACUGCAGUCUCUAACUCCUGGUCUCAAGUGAUCCUCCUGCCUCAGCCUACCAAGUAGCUGGGAUUACAGGAGCAUACCACCACACCUGGCUUGUAACUGCUAUUUUUAAACUCCUUAUUGUUCAGUUCUAUUUCAGUCACUUCUGGGUCUAUUUCUUUUCUUUUCUUUUUUUUGAGAGUUUUUCGCUUGUUGCCCAGGCUGGAGUACAAUGACACGAUCUCGGCUCACUGCAACCUCUGCCUCUUCCGGGUCUAUAUUUCUAUUGACUGGCUUUUCUUUUGGUUUUGGGUCACAUUUUCCCACUGCUUUGCAUAUGUCUUAUAAUUUUUUUUUUU
rnacentral:lncRNA from 10 species